rnacentral:lncRNA from 1 species
GAACGGCUGGAAAUCACAGCGUGUCGUUCAAAACGAAUGAACCAACCAAGCAGAAGUGGAGCAUCUGGAAAGCCUGAAGGCCAACAAUAGAAGACGAUGCAACAACUGACGACUGGGGGUGGCGGAGCGGGAGGAGGAAAGCCUGAAGGCCAACACUAAAAGACGAUGCAGCAACUGACUGUGGGGGUGGUGGAGCGGGAGGAAGGGAGGGGGUGACCCGCGAGUCUCACUGCCGCUCAUCAAUAGGACCAAGCGUUGUGCAAGCGGAGGACUCCGGGUCACCACCAGGGGAACACAGAGCAUCACAACUGCAGGAGGAAAAUGGGGCAAGGAAAGAUGAUGCAAAGUUCCCGUGCACCAUCUCGGAGCCGGGAAGCCACAGCCCCGGGAAGCACCUCCCGUGGUGCCCACACGGCAGAGGGGUCCUCAGCGGGGGUGGCCUCUAGCCUCUGUCCUACCAUGUGUGUCUCAAACGCACCCAGAUCCUCCACCCCAUCGAGGCUUACUCAUUGGGAAUAGGAGAUCUAUUCCCGGGAGGAGCUUUGUAUCGGAAAGGAGGAUGUGUGGUUCCUUUGGUUUUUAAAAUACCUACUUUAUUAAAUUACAAAAUUUUAGAAACCUAGUUUUUCCUUAAGGUUUCAUUAUCUAUUAAACCUAGCAAAUAUUCACAUUGA